rnacentral:tRNA from 1 species
GCCUGGGUGGCUCAGUCGGUUGAGCGUCUGACUCCGGCUCAGGUCACGAUCUCGCGGUUCGAGUUCGAGCCCCGCGUCGGGCU